rnacentral:rRNA from 1 species
AAUAACCGGGGUGGUUUUUUACAACCGCCUGGUUUAAAACAUAAAAAGGGGGGUUUUGGUUUCCACUUUAAGGGGCGCCCGCGGGGGCCUAUAAGUUAGUUGGUGAGAUAACGGCUCACACAGGGGAACCGUUGGUUAGCCCACCUGGAGAGGUUGUUGGGCCCAAAGGGGGAAUGAACACCCGGCCCAGAAUUUCUUGGGGGGGGGCAGCGGUAGGGAAUUUUUCCCACAGGGAAGAAAUUUUGAGGGAGCAACGCCGCUUGAGUGAUGAAGGUUUUCGGAUUCGAAAAGUUCUGUUGUUAGGGAAGAACAAGUGCCGUUCAAAUAGGGCGGCACCUUGACGGUACCUAACCAGAAAGCCACGGCUAACUACGUGCCAGCAGCCGCGGUAAUACGUAGGUGGCAAGCGUUGUCCGGAAUUAUUGGGCGUAAAGGGCUCGCAGGCGGUUUCUUAAGUCUGAUGUGAAAGCCCCCGGCUCAACCGGGGAGGGUCAUUGGAAACUGGGGAACUUGAGUGCAGAAGAGGAGAGUGGAAUUCCACGUGUAGCGGUGAAAUGCGUAGAGAUGUGGAGGAACACCAGUGGCGAAGGCGACUCUCUGGUCUGUAACUGACGCUGAGGAGCGAAAGCGUGGGGAGCGAACAGGAUUAGAUACCCUGGUAGUCCACGCCGUAAACGAUGAGUGCUAAGUGUUAGGGGGUUUCCGCCCCUUAGUGCUGCAGCUAACGCAUUAAGCACUCCGCCUGGGGAGUACGGUCGCAAGACUGAAACUCAAAGGAAUUGACGGGGGCCCGCACAAGCGGUGGAGCAUGUGGUUUAAUUCGAAGCAACGCGAAGAACCUUACCAGGUCUUGACAUCCUCUGACAAUCCUAGAGAUAGGACGUCCCCUUCGGGGGCAGAGUGACAGGUGGUGCAUGGUUGUCGUCAGCUCGUGUCGUGAGAUGUUGGGUUAAGUCCCGCAACGAGCGCAACCCUUGAUCUUAGUUGCCAGCAUUCAGUUGGGCACUCUAAGGUGACUGCCGGUGACAAACCGGAGGAAGGUGGGGAUGACGUCAAAUCAUCAUGCCCCUUAUGACCUGGGCUACACACGUGCUACAAUGGACAGAACAAAGGGCAGCGAAACCGCGAGGUUAAGCCAAUCCCACAAAUCUGUUCUCAGUUCGGAUCGCAGUCUGCAACUCGACUGCGUGAAGCUGGAAUCGCUAGUAAUCGCGGAUCAGCAUGCCGCGGUGAAUACGUUCCCGGGCCUUGUACACACCGCCCGUCACACCACGAGAGUUUGUAACACCCGAAGUCGGUGAGGUAACCUUUUAGGAGCCAGCCGCCGAAGGAA